CACGUAGGGCGCAAGCGUUGUCCGGAAUUAUUGGGCGUAAAGGGCGCGUAGGCGGUUUGACAAGUCUGAUGUGAAAUCUAUGGGCUCAACCCAUGGCCUGCAUUAGAAACUGUCGGGCUUGAGUAUGGGAGAGGUGAGUGGAAUUUCCGGUGUAGCGGUGAAAUGCGUAGAUAUCGGAAGGAACACCUGUGGCGAAAGCGGCUCACUGGACCAUAACUGACGCUGAGGCGCGAAAGCUAGGGGAGCAAACAGG
rnacentral:rRNA from 1 species